rnacentral:rRNA from 1 species
AGAGUUUGAUCAUGGCUCAGAGCGAACGCUGGCGGCAGGCCUAACACAUGCAAGUCGAGCGCCGUAGCAAUACGGAGCGGCAGACGGGAGAGUAACACGUGGGAACGUACCCUUCAGUUCGGAACAACCCAGGGAAACUUGGGCUAAUACCGGAUACGUCCGUAAGGAGAAAGAUUUAUCGCUGAAGGAUCGGCCCGCGUCUGAUUAGCUAGUUGGUGGGGUAACGGCCCACCAAGGCUACGAUCAGUAGCUGGUCUGAGAGGAUGAUCAGCCUCACUGGGACUGAGACACGGCCCAGACUCCUACGGGAGGCAGCAGUGGGGAAUAUUGGACAAUGGGCGCAAGCCUGAUCCAGCCAUGCCGCGUGGAUGAUGAAGGCCCUAGGGUUGUAAAGUCCUUUCGGCGGGGAAGAUAAUGACGGUACCCGCAGAAGAAGCCCCGGCUAACUUCGUGCCAGCAGCCGCGGUAAUACGAAGGGGGCUAGCGUUGCUCGGAAUCACUGGGCGUAAAGCGCACGUAGGCGGCUUUUUAAGUCAGGGGUGAAAUCCUGGAGCUCAACUCCAGAACUGCCUUUGAUACUGAGAGGCUCGAGUCCGGAAGAGGUGAGUGGAACUGCGAGUGUAGAGGUGAAAUUCGUAGAUAUUCGCAAGAACACCAGUGGCGAAGGCGGCUCACUGGUCCGGUACUGACGCUGAGGUGCGAAAGCGUGGGGAGCAAACAGGAUUAGAUACCCUAGUAGUCC